CAUCAGUUGGGCUGUGGGGAU
rnacentral:piRNA from 1 species